rnacentral:tRNA from 1 species
GUCUGGGUGGCUCAGUCGGUUGAGCAUCCGACUUCGGUUCAGGUCAUGAUCUCACAGUUUGUGGGUUCGAGCCCCGCAUCAGGCU